rnacentral:rRNA from 1 species
AAGGAAAGCCCUUCGGGGCCUACCGACCCACAUAUUACUAGGUUAGCAAUGGAGCGACGGAGAAGGAUAGAUGAUCCCAGGCGAUGGUUGUCCUGGGGUAAAUGAGUAGGAAGACUGAUAGGUAAAUCCGUUAGUCACAUAUUCUGAGACAUGAUGCCGAGCCGCUUUUAGGCGAAGUCAUUAAUUCCAUGCUUCCAAGAAAAACUUCUAGUUAGUUUUUUUAGUGCCCGUACCCCAAACCGACACAGGUGGACAAGUAGAGAAUACUAAGGCGAGCGAGAGAACUCUGGUUAAGGAACUCGGCAAAAUAGUUCCGUAACUUCGGGAGAAGGAACGCCCAAGUAAAGUGAUUAAUUAACUUUAUGAGCUUGAACGGGCCGCAGUGACUAGACUCAAGCGACUGUUUAUCAAAAACACAGGAGGGUGCAAAGUUCUAAUACAACGUAUACCCUCUGACACCUGCCCGGUGCUGGAAGGUUAAGUGGAGAGGUUAGCUUCGGCGAAGCUUUGAAAUUAAGCCCCAGUAAACGGCGGCCGUAACUAUAACGGUCCUAAGGUAGCGAAAUUCCUUGUCGGGUAAGUUCCGACCUGCACGAAUGGUGUAACGAUUUGAGUACUGUCUCAACCAGAGACUCGGCGAAAUUGCAAUGUGAGUAAAGAUGCUCACUAUGCGCGACAGGACGGAAAGACCCCGGAACCUUUACUGCAACUUGAUAUUGAUGUUUAAUGUGCAGUAUGCAGGAUAAGUGGGAGACUUUGAUUUAGAUGCGCUAGUGUCUAAUGAGUCAUCCUUGAGAUACCACUUUCUUCAUAUUGAGCCUCUAACCUAGAUCCGUUAUCCGGAUCAGGGACAUUGUCUGGUAGGCAGUUUCACUGGGGCGGUGGCCUCCUAAAAAGUAACGGAGGCGCUCUAAGGUCACCUCAGCGUGGACGGCAAUCACGCAUUGAGUGUAAGUGCAAAAGGUGGCUUGACUGUGACACAAACAAGUGGAGCAGGUACGAAAGUAGGAACUAGUGAUCCCAUGGUUGCAUGUGGGUGCGCCAUGGCUCAUCGGCUAAAAGGUACUCCGGGGAUAACAGGCUUAUACCCCCCAAGAGUCCAUAUCGACGGGGGUGUUUGGCACCUCGAUG